GUCUCUUCCUCUCUCCCUGCAUUACAUCUGCUGGAGAGCUCUCAGUGUGGCCGUCAGAGACUCAGAUUCUAUUCUCUCUCCCCUGGAUUCCUUCAUCCACCUCCUGGCCUCUUCUGCCACACUUGCUCUGCACUUUGUCCCCAGCACAGUAGCCCAGAAGUCACAGCUCUUCUGUGCUUAGAAAUCUCCCGAGGCUCUGUGUUCACUCAGGGAACAAGCCCGCAGCCCUCCUGUGCCACUCCGGCCUUCUUGAGUCUUCCCUUCUCUGGCCUCCACACUGACUUCACACUCUCUCCCGGAAGAACAGUCUGAAGACCUCUCUGCACAGCCUCAAGAUCCUUGUUCGGAUGUCCCACGAGGCGCCCCUGUUUCAGCCGGCAUCUCACAUCUCCCGGGCACUUCUUCCUUUCCUGCAUUCUACUGCGGACUUCCUCUCGGGUCUGCUGCUUGUCACCUGCUUCCCAGCUGCACCCAGACCACGUUCCCACUGGGUCGAAAUGUGUCCUUUGUUCAGUGCAGUUGGUCCCCAUCCCCUCACUCAUGAUGAUGAGCCUGUCCCCACAACUCUAAUGUCUGGGUCUCAGGAUACUGAACUCCCUCCAGCGUAUAAGUCCCAAGGAGCACUUAUUCCAUUGCCUGGUUAUUUCAAAGGCAGGUCCUUGGUCCUUGAACUGGAACAGCUCAAGGCUCAAUUGAUGAGUGCAAUGAAAGAAGCCAUUGAGAAGUCAGCAGUCUGCUCAUAGGGUGACAGCUUGUUUGGGCUGCUAGGGCCUCUUUCCUGCCCAUUCAGACCCUCUUAGUUCAGCACCAGGGCCAGCGCUAGGCACCCAGGUCUAAGGGGGUGUAGUCUAGACUCUGAGGAACCUACUGGAUGUGGCCUGGUUAAAAGGCUUGUGUUGAAGGAUCCCCCUGUAACCUUACCCAAUCCCAGGUAGAUCCAAAGGCCAUCAGGAAGAUGGGUCAAGCCUCAUCAACACUUGGCAAUUUGACCUCAUAACCACUUCAUACCUUUCCCUAGCAGACAGGAUUGGGAAGGGUGGCUCCUUCGGAGCAGGGUCCAGACCGAGGAACCAUGACCCUGGAGACCCCUUUCCAGAGAGAAGCUGGCACCCCACAGCCUCUGCCUCAGCCAGAAGGGGCAACAGCUUUCUUCUUGUCUUGUUUGCUGCACAGCCCCCUCUUCCUGCCACGCCUGGGCUCCUUCCAGAUCUCAGCUGAGCGCCGCUGCUUCUAUUUUUAAAUGGAGCUAGCAGAGCUGAAUCCACCUCCACAGAUAACUGGAGUUGCAUCGGCUUUACAGAUUCCUCAGGGAGGACGGACAUCUGCCCCAUUCAUCCUCUCUACUCCCCUUGUCCUCCCCAGCCAGAUUCCCCACCUUUUCUCUCCCCAGGAGCAGAUGGUGGGGCUCCUUCCUCUCUGCGUAGCCCUGGCCAUCCUGGAACAUGAUCUGUAGACCAGGCUGGCCUUGAACUCAGAGAUUUGCCUGCCUCUGCCUCCUGAGUGCUGGGAUUAAAGGCAUGUGCCAUCACCUCCAGGUUCUUAGGUGGGUCUUUAAGGAUGCAUAGGUAGGUCCUGGUGGCACAGGGCUGUAAUCCAGCUAUUUGGGAGACUGAGGCAGGAGGAUCACAAGUUUAAGGCCAGCCUGGGCUACUUAGUGAGGCCCUGUUUCAAAAUACAAAAGUAAAAGUAGCACUGGACUCCUGCUGCUGGGGAGAUGGCUCAGUGGUUAAGAGCACUGGUUGCUCUUUCAGAGGACCUGAAUUCAGGUGCCCACAUCCAUGCAGUGGCUCACAGCUGUCUGUUAACUCCAAUCCCAAGGGAUGUGACGCCCUCUUCUGGCUGCUGCAGGCACACUAGUGGUACACAGAUACACAUGCAGGCAAAAUAUCCAUAUACAUAAAUAACUGAAAUAGUUUCAAAAGAGAUGUGAAUGAGUGGUAUAGCCUUUGUGUCUGGAUAUAUAUGAGGCCCUGGGUUCACUCUCAAGCACAAAAAUACCAAAACCCCAGCAUACAGUGGGGAAGGAGAUGGUGAGGGAAUUGGAGAAUAAGGGGGAAGCGGUAGAGCAGAAGGGGAGCUUCAGCAUGCUGCCCCAGGCUGCUCAGAAAUAUGAGAAGUCAGACCAACCGAAGGGAACCAGGCCAGUCAGGCACCAGCACCGUGAGCUAUGUCCAUGUGUCCCUCCAGGCACCCAGAUGUGUUAGCCACGUCCCCGAACAUGCAGCUUCUCCUCCAGUCACAUCCUCUAGGAAGAGCAGAGUCGGGCAUCUGCUGGCCCCACAUGUUCCCUUGUAUUUCUCUAAGCAAUAUGUACACCUUAAUAUACAGUUGUUUCACGGUACCUCAGGGGGGUGGAGCCAGGGCUCACUGAGGAACCCAACAUCCAAGGAUGUGAAAUGACACAGUAUUUGCCCAGCCUCUCUGCUCUUCCUCCUACACACUCAUCUCUAGAUGAUCACUUACAUUGUCUGCUGUUACGUAAGCACCGUGUGAACGGCGUCUACCCAGGACUGCUAGGGAGUAAUAAACGAUAAGGGAAAAAAGUCCUAUGUGAUCAACAGAACUUUAAUUUUUUAUGGAGACAGAACUCGGGGCCCUGUGCAUAGACAACAAGCAUUCUUCCACUGAGCUACAUCCCCAGCCCUGUUUUUGUUUGUUUGUUCUUUCUUUUUUUUUUGUUUUGUUUUGUUUUUCGAGGCAGGGUUUCUCUGCGUAGCUUUGUGCCUUUCCUGCAGCUCGCUCUGUAGACCAGGCUGGCCUCGAACUCACAGAGAUCCGCCUGGCUCUGCUUCCCGAGUGCUGGGAUUAAAGGCGUGCACCGCCGCCGCCGCCGGCUGUUUGUUCUUUCAUGGGGUCAUGAGAGUGGGAAAGCUGAUCCUGCCCCUCCCCGGCUGCAGCACUUGAGAGAUCAGGCCCUGCACCAACCCCAGUCAGCACUGUAGAGCUGAGCUGACCCUGUUGAUGGAGGUGCGGGAGAUCCAGUGCCUCGAACGUGUGUGGGAGAUCAUCUGCCACAUGGUGGGUGGCUGAGGGAAAGCUGACCUCCCCGACCCAUCGCCAUCUGUGGCAAGUGGGAGAGCUGGCCCUGAGGUCAUGAGAGUGGGAGAAUUGGUACUGCCUCUCACGGGAGCAGCACUCGGAAGAGCAGCGCCUGCACCCUGCCGCACAGCACAGUAGAGCGGACCCUCUUGGUGGGGGCGCAGAACCAGGACUACAAGAUAGCCCAGCCCAACAUCCACCUCCUCUAUGAACUGCUGGAGCACGUGAAGGGGGCCGGACCUGCAGACCUGCUGGAUCUCCAGAACACAAGACAACAGCAGGAUAUCCAAGGAACCCCAGUGAGAGCCCAGUAUUGAUAGUGCAGCAGAAGCCGGAGGCCUGGAACCAGACCAACAACUCCCUGCAAUGAACACUUGCAAGUAAAGACAUAUGGACUAAAAGGUAAACUAUGUGACCACACUACAGUAUGGUGAUAUUUUAUUUGUACUGAAAUGUGAUUUUAUUUGUAUGUUAAUAAAGUUGCCUGGGGGUCAGAGCUAAUAGCAAGCCAUAGCAGAGCUGGGCGUUAGUGGUGCACGCCUUUAAUCUGCCUACUUGGUAGGCAGAGCUAGGUAGAUCUCUGUGUGGUCAAGGAUACAGCCAGCAUUGGAGACACAUGCCUUUAAUCUCAAUACCAACCAUAGAAAAUCUGGAGGUCUGUACAAACAGGCAGUGACGAGGUGGUCAUGUGGUUGGGUUUACAACCGAUGAGAAGGCAGAACAGAAAGUCUAUAUAAAGACAAACACUCAGGAAGUAGGUCUCUCUUGGCUGAAGAGGCUAGCUGCAGCAGACGGGUAAGGCUCUUAGCUCUGAUCUCUUGGCUUUCUUCUUUGCAUGGGUUCUGUGUUUCUUAUUUAAUAAGACGGUUGGUUACAUCUACACUACAGCAUCCAUGCCAAGAUUUUUUUUGUAUGUUGUUGUUGUUGUUGUUUGUUUCUGUUUUUAACUUUCAAAUUUUGUUUUGUUUUGGGGGAGAUUUCAAGGGCAGAGAGCAGAAGCAGAAGCAAAGGGACAGGGAGAUGAGUGAGAUUGGGAUGCUUGAUGUGAAAUCCACAAAGAAUCAUAAAAAAUUUAAAAAAAAAGAGAGAGAAAAAGAAAAGGCCUUUGAAAGAAGUGACGCUCGAGUCAAAGGUGACUGGGAGUUAGUAGGGGAACAAAGACGGGCAAUCUGUCUAUCCCAGGCAAGAGGUCCUACAAAGUGUGUGACCCAAGGGGUGGGUGGGUGUGUUAGUCAGGGUCUGUAGAGGAAGAGAACUGAUAGAAUAAUCUGUAUAUACACAAGGGGAAUUCAGGAAAAGACUUAGAGGAAGGCUGGGUGGUGGUGGCACACGCCUUUAGUCCCAGCACUCGGGAGGCAGAGCCAGGAUGAUCUCCGUGAGUUCAAGGCCAGCUUGGUUUACAGAGUGAGAUCCAGGACAGGCACCAAAACUACACGGAGAAACCCUGUCUCAAAAAGCCAAAAAAAAAAAAAAAAAAAAAAAAAAAAAAAAAAAGCCAAAUAAAUAAAAUACAAAAUAAAAGACUUACAGACUGUGGUGCAGCUGGUCCAACAAUGUCUUCCUCUCAACAGAAAGCCCAAGAAACCCGUAGUUGUUCAGGCCGCGAGGCCGCAAGUCUCAGCUGGUCUUCAGUAUCCGUUGCGAUUCCAAAGAAGUAGGCUCUGACGCCAGCGAAGGAACGGACCUGCCAGUGAGAGUAAGGGCAAGCAGGCAAAGAGCAGGGCUUCCUUCCUCCAUGUCCGGUAUGUGGGGUACCAAGAGAAGGUGUGGCCCAGAUUUAGCCAGACACUCCACGUCCCAGGUACUUCCUGGGCUGAGCCAGUGGUCCCGUGCCUCUUUCUGCAUGGCUUCCGUCCCAGAACCCUAACUGGAGGCGAUGAAGAAAUGACAGGAACAUCUGAUGGAGAAGCCCCAGCACCCCAGAGACGCGGUAUGCUUAUAUAUACAGCUGCACAGGGAGGCAGGGUUGUUACACACAGAUACAUGAAGAGGCAAGGUGAUUGCACACAGCUCAACAAGGAGGCAGGCUUGGCUGAUCGCAGUGGGGGCAGGUUCUGCAGAGAAGCAGUCCUUAGGCCAUGAACAUGGGAGUCGGGAGAGAGAAAGCUUAGGGGGGGCACUGUCUGCACACGCUGUCAAUAUUUUCACUUGGACCCAAGGAAGGCUUCGCCAUCCCUCUGAGCCUCACCUGGGGAAGGCUUUGGCACUCCCACGGGGCUAAGGCAUUUGGGUCCUUGACAUGGCCAUGUGGACCGCGUGCGUUCACUGAAGGCUCCACUUGCUCCCUGCAGUGCGGAGGCUCUGAUGGGAGUCCAUCUAAUCAGCCGACACAAACUCUGCGGAGUUGAGACCCACACGCUGCUUCCCGUCUUACUCACCAGAGCUGCUGGCUCAGCCCCAACCAGCCCAAGAGGAGUGCCAGGUCAUAUGCCUGAGAGGCAGCACUCCAGGGACAUCAACAACAAUCCCAGUCCCCAAGGACUUGAAAACCUAAAAACUUCCCUUUCUGUCUAAGCAUCUUCAGAGUCUGGUUUGAAUUAUUCGUGAUUCAAUAAUUUUUUUUUUUUUUUUGGUUUUUCGAGACAGGGUUUCUCUGUGUAGCUUUGCGCCUUUCCUGGAACUCACUUGGUAGCCCAGGCUGGCCUCGAACUCACAGAGCUCCGCCUGGCUCUGCCUCCCGAGUGCUGGGAUUAAAGGCGUGCGCCACCUCCACCCGGCGUGAUUCAAUAAUUUUACUUUACUAGGUUCAAAACCAUAGAGAGGAGAAAACCCCUAUCCACUUGAACAGCAAGAAACAGCUUGGGGAAAUGGUGCAAACUGAGGGUUAUUCUUUUGUUGACAUUUUAUGUAUUUUUGUUUUAUGUUUAUGGAUGUGUAUCCAUGUUCCUGCAGUGUCUGAGAAGGCCAGAAGAUGGUGUCAGAUUCCCUGAGAAUCUGAGACUGGAGUUAGAGAUGCUUGUGAACCACCACGUGGGUGCUGGGAACCUAACCAGGUCCUCUGGAAGAGUGGUCAACGCUCCUAACCACUGAGCCAUCUCUCCAGCCCCAAAUUACAGAUUAUUCUUAUCCGCUUAAUAAUACCAUAAUGUCUUUUUUCUCCCUUCUCCCCUCCCUCUCUCUCCCCUCCUCUUCCUCCUCCUCUUCCUUUUUUUGAGAUAGGUCUCACACUAUAGCCCUGGCUGGCCUUGAACUCUCAGCAAUCCUCCUGCCUCUGCCUCUCUAGUGAUGGGACUACAGGCACAAGCAGACAGGAGCGAUGUGUGGCUCUGACACACUAUAUUUCUUUACUAAACUGAAGACUGGGAAGACUGUAUUUGUUUACGGUCACUCUGUGAUUCUAUGCUCUUAUUUGAAUACCCGAUAGCAACUGUAUUCCCAGAGACUUGGGAGGCUGAGGUUGAGAGGAUCCUGUGCCUAGUAGCUUGAGGCCAGCCCUGGCAACAUGUGAUAUCCCCCCCUACCACCACCACACCUCCCCAGUUAGGCAUGGUGGCAAUCCCAGCACUUGGGAGGAGAGGCAGGAAGAUUAGGGAUUCAUGGUCACCCUUGGCUACACAGUGAGUUCAAGGCCCAUCCGGCCUAUGUGAGACCUUGUCUUUUUUUGUUUUUCAAAGAUGUCCUUUAUUAUUUAUUUGUUAUGUGUAUGUCUCUGUGUGAGUAUGUGUACAUGAUAUGGUGCCUUUGGAAGCCAAGAGGGCGUCAGAUCCCCUAUACAAGCAGUUCUGAGCUGCCUGCCGUGGGUGGGAGAGCUGAGCCCAGGUCCUCCAGGAGAGCAGAGAGUGAUUUUAACCACUGAGCCAUCUCUUCAGACCCCAAGAUCAUGCCUUCAAAGCGGGGUGUGUGUGUGUGUGUGUGUGUGUGUGUGUGUGUGUGUGUGUGUGUGUGUGUGUGUGUGAAAUCAUUUGGAAACAUGGAUCAUGGGUUCUGUUUACUUACUGGGAACCCACUGGGACACAUCACUUUUCUUGAAUGUUUGGUGAGGAUUAUGUCAUGACUUCUCUACUCUGAGAUUAGUUAUCAUUCUUGUUUUAUAUAGGAGAAAAAAACAAGACCCAGGGAGGGUAAGUAACUUAGUCAAAGUCACACAGCCAGCGAGUCCCAUGUUGUAUUGUGUCCCUGUAUUGCUAGAGACAAGGCCCUCAUCUGGAACAGUUCUGUGCUGCCCCCUAGGGGCAGCCGAGUGCCCGGGAGGUUAAGGAAGGGCAUCUGGAAUUCUCCUGGCUGUAGAGGCAGCUCUGACUGCAAACGUGUUGACAUUACAGAGGUCCCUCUGGGGUUCUACCCGCUGAACUUGGCUGCUAGUUCAGGCAAGCCAGCCUGGAACUAGGUUUUCAGGUCCUUGGAGUUGAAACAUUAUUUACUGAGCACGUGUGCAUGGACCCUUGAGGCCCCUGAGUUCUCCCCACCACUCAGAGCAGCUGUAUGCACGUGCAUACCAUUCUUGAACAUAUAACAUACACACUCUAAAUGCACGUGUGCACACACAACACAUACAUUCUCUCUCUCUCUCUCUCUCUCUCUCUCUCUCUCUCUCUCUCUCUCUCACACACACACACACACACACACACACACACCCUCUCCAAAACAUCUAUUAUUCAGCUCAGAGCUGGAAAUUCCCAGCCAUUGGUUUGUGUGUUUUUCUGCCUGGCCUCGCCCUUCUUAGGAAUGCACACUGGAGCUACUUACUCUAAGGGCAAAAAGCCUAAGGUGGUGGGAGAGCUGAGGCUGGCUACUGCCUGGGGUCCCUGAUGCCCUGGGAUGGGGGAGGGGCACACCUGCUGCUGCAGGCUUUGAAACUCUGACCCCAUAGCAAAGUCUGAGUGUGAGAUGGAGGCAAAGGGUGAGGAAGAGGGGCUGCAGCUUGAUGCUGAAAGUCCAGGUCCACGUUCCUGGGGGCUAAGUGCGGGAGGUCUGAGGGGGCUCAGGAGUCUGCACAUUUAAGAAUCCGGGGCUCAUGCUUUCAGGAACAGUGCCAAGUUGGGCAUGGUGGCACAUGUCCCAGCUCUUGGAAGGGUGAGGCGGGAGGGUAGACUAUCUAGGCUUCCUUCAGCAGGUAUCUCUGUCCUUUAUGCCUGCUGGACUCCUUGCAGUGAGGUAAGUAGGGGGAGGUCGGGGGAGAGCAUCAAAGCCAGCCUGGGCCACACAGGGCGAGCUGGUCUCACAAACCAAAACGAAAGCCCUCAAAGCCUAAUGACACGUUCCCUAAGAUUUGAACUCUGGAGGAAGGCUUGGUCGCGUGCUGUCUCUGCAGUACCCGCGGACUGGAGCAAGUCACACUUCUCCCUCCAUACCUUGCCCCGGGGAUGAUACACAGGGCCAGGUACUCUACCACUGGGCUGCGCCCUCGGCCCGAGUUCACAUAUCCGUGGCAAACUUUACUUGCAUGAUAAAGGUCACUACCACAAGAGUUUGGCAUACAGCCUGGCAUGUGGAAACCAGGAAGAAAGAAUGGUCGCUGUCAGCAUGAUUGCAUGGGGUUUCAGAAUAUCUGCCCUUUCAAACUUGGCAUUGGUGGUAGGAAUUGCUUUACCUGACUAAGUCUAGCUUGCUAACUGAAAGAGAAAAUGCGAGGCCGCAGUGCUGCAAGGUCCCUGGGGAGCCCUGAACCGGGAUCCAAGUUUCCCCACUCCCUUCCUCUUCCUGAACUUUCGUAGGAUGCAGCGCACACCUCCAGCAAUGCCAGCCAAAAGCCCUUGUGGCCACGUCUUGCAGGGUGGGAAGGGCCUGGGACAACAGGCUGCAGUGGUUCCUUCUUGGAUGUGGGAAUCAGGUCAGUAGGAUGAAGGUCUAAAGAGCUCCCAUCAGAGAGGGAGAGCUGACUGCGGCUUGCACGGAGGUGAGGAGGCAGCCCCUCUCCUUCAGGAACUUUAAGUCCCUGCUCCUGAUGCAAAUGGGUAGGAAACAUUGGGGUGAGGGAGGCCCCAGAACCGAGGGAAGUGAAAUCAUGGUCUGUCUUUCCUUGAUGUGUUUUUGAUAGAGACAGGAGAUCCGAGAAACAUAUCCUUACCCUGGGAAAAGCAAGAGGAUGAGGAUGACAGAUGGAGCCGAUGGAGCCCAUGAGCCUGGAGCACGAGAGUGAGAGACGUUGAAAUGCAAAGGUUGUGUAGCCUCUAACUCCCACCCCCAACCUCGGCCUGGCACUGUGAGGGAACACAGGCCUAGGGGGUCAGAUCUUUCGGAGUCAUUGAGAGAAUAUAGAAAAAUGAAUGUAUGUGGCCAACUUGCUGAAUUGAAAUGCUGCCUCCAAUUUUAUUUUUAAAGAAUGACUUGGUUUUAUUUUAUGUGCAUGUGUGGGUGUGUGCAUGUGUAUGUUAGGUGCCUGUGGAGGCAUCAGCUCCCCUGUGAGUUGCUCGAGGUGAAUGCUGGGAACCAAACCUGUGUCUUCUACAAGAGCAGCAGCAAGUGAUCGAAUCUGCUUACUUAGCUCCUUCUCCAGCCCCGUGCUGCCUCUGAUUUUAAGAUGUUCUUGUUAGAAAGACGUUCUGAUAGGUAAUAACAACAGAAUAUGUAAUCCUAACUGCUCAAGAGGUUGAGGCAAGAGGAUUAUAAGACCUGCCUGGGCUACAGAAUGAGUUCAAGGCCAGUGUGAGCAACUCAGACCAUGUCUCAAAACAAAAUGUUGGAAAAAGUCGAGGGUGCAGAUCAGGAGUACCACACCGGCUUAGCAUGCCUGAGGCCCUGGGCCUUAGUACUACUUCAAAAAUAAAAAUAAGUAAAUAAAUAUAUAAAAUGAAGAGAGGAAGGACCCUGCUUAAAAAAAGAUAUCUAUCUUAGAAGUCACAAAAGACACCAAUAGGCUGGACUUGAUCCGUGGUACCUUUGGGCUGUUCUCAACCCGUACAACAGCUCAGACUUUGGUCAUAUCUAUGAACUUCCUGGUUUCUUGAAAAAGUCUCUCUCUCUCUCUCUCUCUCUCUCUCUCUCUCUCUCUCUCUCACUCACUCUUUCACAUACACACACACACACACACACACACACACACACACACACACACACACACCAAGAAUGAGUAGAGACACUAUAGAGGAAAAUGUGGACACCAGACAAGUGGCAGCAUUAUCAGGGGUACCUAGGUGGUGGUUUGUGGGACACUGCGUUGGACCCACAGGAAUCCUGAGUCUUGCCAGACCAAGAGACCAGUCACACCCACAUGCAUAGAGGCCCAGAGAGGUGAAGGCAUUGGCUCAUCAUUACACAGCAAGGCAGCACCAAGCCAGUCCAGGGCCUGGUUCUCCUUAUUCCCAUCUGCAGCGCCUUCUAUAAAAAUCCCUGCCCCUGGUGCAAAUG